rnacentral:lncRNA from 1 species
GGGUCUGGUUUGGAAAUCCAGCUGCCUCUGGGCAUUCACUGCCAGCUGCAGCUCUCAACAUAAAGGUGGGGCCGAGUGAAAUGUGAGCUGGGGGUCGCCAAGUGGGUGAGGAGGUAACUGCCUACAAUUCCCUCCUCAGAGUAAACCCCACCCGAGGGUCCCCCAGAUGUCUGGCGUGACUCCAUGUCAUCCUUUCAAUACUCUGAGAAGCUGAGCAGAGAAGCCUGUGGCAGCAUUAGAGGAGGGCAGCUUUCCAUGGGUGGAAACAGGAAUGAUGAAAUCCCCUCUCAGGAACAGAAGGGAUUAACAAGGCAAGGCUGGAUUCUAGUGGAUGCCUUAGAAGAACAGGAUCUCAAUGCCCAAUAAAUGACCUGGGCGGCUCAGGCACCAGAGCUGAGAAGGAGGGGGCUCAGGCACAGGAGUGCGGAAGGAAGGCACGGCCUUGGGAGUUGAUGUGAUCCCCAAGGCUAUUCAGCAGCAGGAAGCCCCUGGAGGAGGUCAGGUGCAGAGCAGAAGUGCGUUCUUGACCAAAGGGUUGGCGAAUUCACUCGGGCUGGGGGAGUGGGUGUGUGAGGGCUAAGAAGGAAGGGGAAAUGAGCUAAGAGGAUGAUUCUAGAAGUGCGAGGCAAAGAGAAAGGGCUGCCAUGACCAGCGCCUGACCACCAGGAGGCAGAGACUUUGGGGACCGGGGCAGUGUGCAGACAUCUCCUUUGACUGCAGAUUCUGGUUCAGUGGGUCUGGGUGGGGUUUUUUCCCCUAUUUCUAAUAAGCUCCCUCCCAGGCGCUGGAGAUGCUGCCUCCCCACCCCCACCCUAUAUAAACCACAAGGUCUCCAGGUGUUAAAAUGAAAGGGGCUCAAACACCAACUAUCCCCAGCCACACCCUUCAAUAUCCCUCUAAUCCUCCUGCACUCCGGCAGCAUCAGCAGUUCUGCCUGUGUCCUGUGUUGGGAGCAUGGCUUUAAGGCGCUUUGGCCCAAUGCCUAUACAAUGCCCAUUGAGAAGAUACACAAAAGCAUCCUUCGAAAAUGUUAAACCCUUGCAAACAGCUUUUCCCAAGAAGCCAUUUGAGUUCCGGUGACUUUGCAUAAACACGCUUCCUGCUUAAGUAAACCUGACCCGAGUGGCUAGCUACUUAGAAACAUUGUUCAUCUCUGACAUGAUACUGUUGCCAUGCGAGGACAUUUAAUAAGCCAUUUAAAUUUACUGUGAGCCUGUACCUUUUUGUCACAUUUAAAAGUAGAUAGCUCAAAGGCAGUUCAGAGAGCAUUCAGUCACUGAGAAUGAUAAUAAAUAAUAAUGUACAAUAAGCUCAAUUAUCUACUCCUUAGACUACAUUUGCCUAUGAAAGGAGAUUUUUCUGUUUUCCACUGUGCUGUUAACAAUUACCCCUUGAAAACGGGGACUCUUAAGCAAUGACAUAAUUGUAGAUUAGAAGUGAUAAGAGGGUUAGCUCGUGUUUUAUAAGGAAGCCAUUGUUAAUUGAAAGGUAAUUCCUCAGUCACUGAGCUGUAUUUCGAAAGGAAGGAGAACACCAACGUGUUGAAGUGACAGCGCAGGUGCGGAACUGAACUAACACCAACGAUACCACUCUGCAUUUGUACCGCCAAACAUGUCAUAACUUUUUUGGGUUUUGUAGCUUGGAUGAGACAGCUUUAUUUGGGUAAAUCUUUGUAGGGAAGGUGGGGCUAGUGCAAUGUGGCUCAACAUCUCUUUACUAUGAAGAUUUGGCCAGAAAAAGGUACCCAGAGAGGAAAUACAAGAUAUUUAUAAAGGCUCAUGAUUUUUAGCGUAUGAAUCAAAUUCAAGGAUGACAUUGGCCAACAAAAAUGAAAUACUGUGGCUAACAGUGAGCCGGAAGUCUGUGAUUGCAGAGACGCAAAGCAUUGAAAGCAAAUAGUCCUGUGACCUUGACCACCUCGACCCAGUCGUUGUUUGUGUGUUUGGUUCAGGAAUGUGUAGGUGCCAAUGGUGUGCCAGGCACCGUGCUGGGUACUAGGGCCCUUGGGAACCUUGUCUGUCUGGUUUGCUGCUGUCUUCUCUCCCAGGGCAUCAUAUUUAUGACGAAAGAUGCUGGGGAUUCAUUUCUUUCAGUCAAGUAAGAACAGAGAUGUCGGAGGUUCCUGCUGAAUGAGCAGCAAGGCCCAGAAUCCAGAGUUUUUGGAAGAAUUAGCAACCCCCAGCCUAAGAUAAUCCCCCUACUGAAGUUUCAGAGGACACGGAAAAGACUGGAGCAUCUCGUGGUACUGAAGACGAGGGUCCUUGUUUUGCAUUGGAGGAGACGGAGCCCAGGUCCUCAGACUUGGAGAACGAGCUGUUCAACCCCCUGAGCUCCUGGGCUGCAAAGCAGACCUCUGAAGAAGAUGACUGUCAUUUUAUAUCACUGUUUUUUGCACCUUAAAAAUAUUAAUAAAUGUUCCACUUACAGG